ACCCUGCCAGCCUCCCUGCUGCAGCCGGCAGCACGUCACUCCAUGCGGGAGGGGAGCCCCACCUAAGGUUCUUGGCCAUAAAAUAUGGCUUUUGGAAAAAUAAAGCUGAGACUUGGAGUUCACGGUGGGGGCUCCCCCAUCUGUGAACAGAAGCAGAAGUUUGGAACUGCCUUCUUUACUGCUCGAGAGGGAAAACUUGAGUGAAAACCAGGAUGCUGGCGAAUGUUGAGUAGCUAAGCUGCACAGGAAAUACCACUUGAUGACCUGCGAUCUGGGGAAGCCGCGCCAGGGCUCUGCGAAGCUGCGGACGAGGGAGGCGUCAGUGUGGGGGCUGCAGCUCAGCUCCGGGGGGGACGCGCCUUUCUCCACGGGACCUGGGGCUCAGGUGCUCACGAGGCUGGGGCGCUGCAGGCCACCCGCAGGGGAAACUGAGGCCCUCCAUUUUGUGGGGCUGGAAGACCUUUCCUUCCAAAAGCAGGUGUAGGCGGGAGCACCUGUGCAGUCCCUCUGUUCAGAUCCUCACCCACUUUUAAAUCAGGAAACAGCAGAUGAAAUGCACAGUGUGAAGGACAAGGAUUCUGCUGAGAGAAUUGCUCCGAGGGUUGCUCAAGUGAUCAUGGGAAAUAAUGCAUCAAACCAUUCUUUAGAUGCAGCUCAGGUGUGCCUUUUCUUCGCCUGUGCCCAUCCACCUGAGAUGGACCAUAACCAUAAAAGUCAGAAGGCACUGACCCUUCAGGACGUGACAGGGUUAAAAGAUGCUGGAGGGAAAGUCUGUCAUUGACUUUUAUUCACUUCCUUUCUCCAUUCUGCCAUUUGGAAGAAGGCUGGAGUGCAAUGGCGCGAUCUCGGCUCACUGCAACUUCCGCCUCCCAGGUUCAAGUGAAUCUCCUGCCUCAGCCUUCCGAGUAGCUGGGACUACAGGCACGUGCCACCAUGCCCAGCUAAUUUUUGUAUUUUUAGUAGAGAUGGGGUUUCACCAUGUUGGCCAGGAUGGUCUUGAUCUCUUGACCUCAUGAUCUGCCCGCCUCAGCCUCCUAGAGUGCUGAGAUUACAGGCGUGAGCCCCCGUGCCUGGCCUUGAAUGGGAUUAGUGUUUUAAAGAGGCCUGAGAGAGACUCCUGGCCACUUUUGCCUUAUGAGGACACAGUGGAAAGGUCCCAUCCCUGAACCAGGAAAUGGGCACUUACCAGACACUGAAUCUGCCUGCAGCUUGACCUUGAACUUCCCAGCCUCCAGAACUCUGAGGAAUAAAUUUCUGUUAUGUGAUAAGCCAUUCAGUCUGUGGUAUUUUGUUAUACCAGCCCAAACGGACUAAGACACAGAACAUAGCCUGUGCCUCUUCCAGUUUCUUCAGGAUCCUUCUGGGCUCAGAGAAUGGAGCUAAGAGGAAGAUUCUACCAUUAGGGCUGGUCUUCACCUGUCUCUUAAGACUGAUGGGCUCCCCAUUUGAAUGACAUUGAUCAACCCGACAUUAACCCAUUGGGUAUGGCUGGGGCAGCUCCUCUUAUCUGUGAGGUGGGAACCAGGUUGGUAAUGUUGCAUCCUGUUAGCCAGGUUCCUAGUUCAGUUUAGCUGUUGUGCAGGUCAAGGACUCUUAAGGAUUGAAUUGCAUCCCUUCAAAAGAUAUUGAAGUCCUAACCCCCAGAAUCGGUGACUGUGACCUUAUUUGGAAAUGGGUCUUUGCAGACACAAUCAAGUUAAGAUGAGGUCAUAUUGGAUUAAAGUGGUGUGUAAUUCAAUAGAUGAUCUCUUUAAUGAAAAGGGAAAUUUGUACUGAGAAACACAGAGGGAAAUGCUAUGUGAAGAUGGAGGCAGAGAUUGGAGUGAUUUGGAGCAAUGUGUAUGUCUGCAAGCCAAGGAACACCAAGUAUUGCCAGCCAUCACCAGAGCUGGAGGAGGGGCCUGGAACAGAUUCCCACUAGAGCCCCCAAAAGGAUCCAACCCUGCUGACACUUUGACUUUGGAGUUGUGGCCUUCAGAACUGUGAGAGAAUUAAUUUGUGUUGUUUUGAGCCACUCAGAGUGUGGUAUUUUGUUAUAGAAGUCCUUGGAUACUAAUAAAGACAUUAAUAGCCAGAUCGGAGGCACCCCCUCCAAGGCCUGAGAGAAGGUUGUUUUAUGGAACCCUGGUUUAGUAGCUGGGACCACAGAUGCGUGCCACCAUGCCUGGCUAUUUUUUUAAAUUUUUUGUACAGAUGGCAUCUUGCUGUGUUGCCCAGGAUUCUGGCUAGGGACUGUGGUUGCAGGUGCUGGGGCUAAUGAAAAUGGGCAAGAGCAGAAUAGCACAGUAACAUCUAUUCUCUAAAUCGACAAUCUUUUCCAGACUACGGUUUAAGAAUCUGUGCCCGAUGAAGCUGAAGGGGGCCUCAGAACUGGUCUCGUGGUCCUCCUCUCAGCUCUGAGGUACUUGUGGCUUGUGGCAGAGCCGCUAUGGACGUCGCUGACCUAGUGGUCAGUGCAUACAUCUGCAGAAAGGUCACUCUACAUUCAAGUGAACCAAUAGAGUGUCUAGAAAUCUCAAUUCAUGGUGUGUGGGGGCAAGAUGCCCAUUCUGACCCUUUAAGGGGGCAUCAACAUUUCAGAGGGUGGUAGGAGUGGUGAUGAGUCCUCCUUAGGGUGAAAGUUCACCCCUUUGGGCUACUAGAGGGCAGUCAUUGGUAUAAUUUCUCUAUUUUAAGCAUUCUGAUGUUUGAUUACAACUUACCCAUGGAAGGCUGAGUUUGUAGUUACUGAACCUUUCCAAGGCUGGGUAGCGUGCCUUCUCUCCCGAAUGCUAUGGAGUUCUACAGUGUGCCAGCAUCUGUUUCUGUAGCUCCUUCUUUCAUCACUGAUGGACGUUUAGAUUGUUUCCAGUUUCUACUACCACAAACAGUGCUUCAGUGACCAUCCUUAGCUGUGGCUUCUUGUGUAUGUGUGAGGAUUUCUUCAGAAUCAGGUCUCCACCUUGGACACUGUCCAUAUAUUGGGCCAGAUAAUUAUUUAGUGUUGGGGGUGCUGUCCUGUGCACUGUAGAACGCUUAGCAGCACUUAGCAGCAUCCCUGGCCUCCACCCACUAGGUGUCAGUAGUGUGCACUACUUAUCACCACCAAAAAUGUCCCCACAUGGUGUCAAAUAUCCACUGGGGGAAACAUUGGCCUUCCCGCCUGUUCAGAACCAUUGGGAUAGAUGAAAAAUGUGAGGCGGUGUUUUUUUUGUUGUUGUUUUUUGUUUUGUUUCGUUUUGUUUUAAGACAGGGUCUCGUUCUGUCAUCUAGACUGGAUCACAGUGGCAUGAUCACAGCUCACUGCAGCCUCAACCUCCUGGGCUCAAGUGAUCUGCCCACUUCAGCCUCCCCAGUAGCUGGGACCACAGGCGUAUGCCACCAUGCCCGGCUAUUCUUUUUUUAUUUUUUAUAGAAUGGCAUCUUUGCUAUGUUGCCCAGGCUGGUCUCAAACUCCUGGCCUCAAACAAUCCUCCUGCCUCAGCCUCCCAAAGUGCUGCGAUUACAGGCAUGAGCCACUGUGCCUGGCCAAGAGUGAGAUUUAUGAAUCAAAAGGUGCUAUGAUUUGAAUAUUCAUCCUCUCCCAAAUUCCUGUUGAAAUUUAGUUUCCACAAUGGCAGUAUUAAGAGGUGGGACCUUUAAGAGAUGAUUGGAAUAAUUCAUUCAUGGAUUAAUGGAUUAAUGAACUAAUAGAUUAUCAUGGAGUUAUAAGAAGAAGAGAACUUGAGCUUGUACUCCCAGCCCCUCGCCAUGUGGUCUCCUGGGCCAACUCAGGACUCUGCAGAGAGUUCUCCAUCAGCAAGAAAGCUCCUCACCAGAUGUGGCCCCUUGACCUUGAAUUCUUCAGCCUUCAUAACUGCAAGAAAUAAAUUUAUUUUCUUAUAAAUAGCCCAGUUUCAGGUAUUCUGUCAUAAGUAACAGAAAAGGGACUAAGACAAAGGGAAUGCAUGUUGAGUGUAAUACACAUGCUGAACAGUCAUACAGGGGCUGGGCACAUUCCACACUCCUGGAGGCAAUGUCUAAUAGACAUUCGACACCAUCACCAUACUUACAAGCCAUGCUGAUGGCUGAGACAGGGCGAAUCAUUUAGUUUUGGGUUUGAUUUUCUUAAUUAUUACCUAAACGUCUUCUCAUGUUUAUUAGUCAUUAGAAUUUCAUUUAUUAUGAGUUACCUAUUCAGUGUCUUUGUCUGUUUGUCUAUUCUUCUUCUUAUUGAUGUUCAGAGAAAAUAUCCAAAAUAUUUGACAACCAUGAGGGCACUGGAUCUUCAAAUGUCCAAACACCUGCCCCCAUAGGAUGGACACCAGCUGUUUACACCAACACAGGAGUCCUGGGUGCGGUGAAAGAACAUCUGCCAUGUGGAUUUGUUGCUGUUCUUAAUUUACUAUGGAAAUUAGCCUCUUGCCUGUGAUAGAAAUCACACGUAUUAUCUCUGAGUAGUCCCAUGUCUUAAAGCUUUGUUUGUUAUUUAAAUUUCAAAGUAGACAAAUUGAGAUGUCUUCUCUUCC
rnacentral:lncRNA from 10 species